rnacentral:rRNA from 1 species
AACGAACGCUGGCGGCAUGCCUAACAGAUGCAAGUCCAACGCUAUCUUUGAUAGAGUGGCCCACGGGUGAAUAACGCGUGGGAACCUGCCUUUUUUCUGCGGGACAACGGUUGGAAACGACCGCUAAUACCGCAUACGCCCUACGGGGGAAAGGUCCGCCGGAGAAAGAGGGGCCCGCGUUUGAUUAGCUUGUUGGUAGGGAAAUGGCCUACCAAGGCGACGAUCAAUACCUGGUCUGAGAGGAUGAUCACCCACACUGGGACUGAGACACGGCCCAUACUCCUACGGGAGGCAGCAGUGGGGAAUAUUGGACAAUGGGGGCAACCCUGAUCCAGCAAUGCCGCGUGUGUGAUAAAGGCCCUAGGGUUGUAAAGCACUUUCACUGGUGAAGAUGAUGACGGUAACCAGAGAAGAAGCCCCGGCUAACUUCGUGCCAGCAGCCGCGAUAAUACGAAGGGGGCGAGCGUUGUUCGAAAUUACUGGGCGUAAAGGGCGCGUACGCCGCUCUUUAAGUUAGG